AUUGAACGCUGGCGGCAUGCUUUACACAUGCAAGUCGAACGGUAACAGGUUAAGCUGACGAGUGGCGAACGGGCGAGUAAUGCAUCGGAACGUGCCCGGUCGUGGGGGAUAACGCAGCGAAAGCUGCGCUAAUACCGCAUACGAUCUGAGGAUGAAAGCGGGGGACCGUAAGGCCUCGCGCGAUCGGAGCGGCCGAUGUCAGAUUAGGUAGUUGGUGGGGUAAAGGCUCACCAAGCCGACGAUCUGUAGCUGGUCUGAGAGGACGACCAGCCACACUGGGACUGAGACACGGUCCAGACUCCUACGGGAGGCAGCAGUGGGGAAUUUUGGACAAUGGGCGCAAGCCUGAUCCAGCAAUGCCGCGUGCCAGGAAGAAGGCCUC
rnacentral:rRNA from 1 species